CACCCGAUCCCAUCUCGAACUCGGAAG
rnacentral:rRNA from 1 species